rnacentral:lncRNA from 1 species
GUUUUCACAUUUAGGUGAAAAUGUGAAUUGAUGAUCCGACCGUUGGAUCGUCACCAAACUUUGAUACGUUGUAAUACGUAAUAUUUGAGGAUUAUUGGAACUUACGGAUUGGGAAUCCGAAUUACGGAUCUUCCGGAAUUGGAAUUGUAAGUCCAUAAUAUAAAAUGUUAACCGUCACUUAGUUUUGGAAAUUGACGGAGAUCCGACCGUUGGAUGGUAAUGAAAUUUUAGGAUGUUGUCCUAGAGGUAUAAUGUGGACCUCUGGAAGUUAUGGAUUAAAAUCUGAGUGGUGGAUCUUCCGGAUCAAUCUACGUAGUGACGUAUUUUAUAUAAGUUAUAUAUUCUAUCGAUAUGAAUUCUGAGGUUGGAAUUGAUUAUUGUUUUAGGCGCCGAUCGUCAUGACGCCUUGGCGUAUUGUGCUAGGGAGUUGUAGGGCGAACUCCAGGUGAGUGGGCAGUUUUGUUUUCCGUAUAUAUAUAUAUAUACUUGACGUUUCCCAGAAAUUGAAAAUGCAUGAAAUUAUGCUUUAAAUGAAAAUGCAUAGAAUUGAUAUGAAAAGUAUAUAGAAAUGUGAGUUGAAAUGCCAUGCAUGAAUUAAUAUAUGAUGCAUAUGUAUGAAUUGGUGCGGUGGACGCACAGGUAAGAAUUGAUUUAUGAUGCAUAUGUAUGAAAUGGUGCGGUGGACGCACAGGUGAGUAUUUAAUUACUGUUAUGAUGAUGAUGAUAUAUAUUGAGCUCAAAUCCUGCACCAUGGUUUAGUGCUUAUAGUAUUCACCGCAUCGCACGCUCGCCUUGGAUCCAAGUAGAUGCUAGUCGUACAGUCCACGCGGAGUGGGUACGACAGACCAGUCGCGAGAGUGUUAGUGAGAUUCCGACUGGUGGGUGACCUUAGAUUAUGUGCACAGAUGAUUUAUGAGAAGCACUAGAGCGUAACUUGUGUGCAGAAGGCCGGACGGGUCACAGAGGUGACUCCGGUAGAGUGAUAAUGAUAGAUUUUGAGCUCUAGGUUCAACCGUACAGGGCUAUUAGAGGGCCUCCGGUUGAUUACUUUCUUGCACCUGAUAUGAUUAUUGUUGAUGCAUCCAUACUUAACUGUUGAAUUAGACAUGGCAUGGCAUGAUUGAUAAAGAAAAAAUGUUGAGUUAAUGAAUUAAAGUAUUGAGAAUAUAUAUGUAUAUUUAUAUUUUACAUUUCUGGGAAAAUAUACAGGUUUUACAGAGAGGGGUUACAACGUUUUGAAAAAUGUUUGGAUUUGGAAAAGAAUUGUUUUACUGACCCACUCAAUUUUGGUUUUGCGCCCCUCCAGGUUCAGGAAUCACAAAGGUGUGGUGACUACGAGGAAUACAGCGGGGUUCUGACAGAUUGGACAAAAUUAGGACUCACCUUCGGGUGUAUCAACUUAUAAAUUGUAUCUUAAAGCUUCCGUACUGUGCAAAUGGUUACGUCACUCUCACGUGACGGCCAGCAUGCCCUCCUUCGGGACGGGGUGUGUCAGUUGGUAUCAGAGCAUGGUUGCAAUCUUGGACAUUUUGAGAAGUUCUAGUGAAUUCUGUCAGAACUACACCGCCUCGUAGCAAGCCACUUAGUUAGAGGAAUUUAGUCUCCCUAAUAUAACGGUUUAGGGGAAACUAUUAUUAUGGUGAUUCAGUCUAUUAUAAAAAGGGACAUUUUAAGAUGGGUUAUGAGUUGAAUUUGAAUCACUUAAGAGAAAUGAUGAACCUGAGGGAGCGAAGUAACGGUUUAACCAUUUGGAAAAGAUGUUUCGGAUUAUGCAAGUCAAAGGAAUCUUCCUUCUGACAGGGGGUCGAGACGACUACCUGGUUUUGGGUAUGAAUUUGUAUCCUGGUGGAAACAGGAGUAUGAUUUGUUGUCAUCGGAGGAACAACCGAUUUAAAAUUGUUUAAGGAAAAGUUUAUCCCUCUGGCAUUUAUUGAUGGUAGUAAACAAGAGUUUACAAAUAUGAGACAAGGAAGGUGAUGAUCGAGGGAUAUUAUAGAAAGUUUUCAGACUUGCCUCGUUCCAUCCAGAUAUUGUUGUGAAUUUGGUGGAGGUGUUAUGUUGUUUUAGGCUGGGUGACAAAAGGAAGUGGUAUUUUUGGGUGACCCCUAUCCAUGGUAUUUCUUACCAGGAGUAUAUGAGAUGUUGUUGAGCCUUGAAGACUCUGAGAAUAUGAUCAGCGAGAGUAAAGAUGAAUAAGAAAAGAAUGGGAAUUAGAUGAAAGAACGAUAAAGUUAAUGAUUCGUCAUAUCAAGAAUAUCGAAAGACUCAGAGCUUCAAAAGAAGUGAAGCUAGAGUUAAUUUUUCCAGUUGAGGUUUUAAUGUCGCUGGUCAGAGUAAAAGUGAUGGAUAUACUGGUAAUCCCAGAUAUUUGAGACAAGGUGUCUCGAGUAAAGGAAAUGUACUUUGUGCAGCAGGUACAAAAAUUAACACUUUGGGAAGUGUGAAAUUAAUGAAUGUGUUUAUGUGAACAGAGGGGACACAGAAUUGUGAAUCGUCCCUAUAAUCAGUUGUACUCAAUAAUUUUCCAUGAUAUCAUAGUGUCGAUUCAGCAGAGUUAUGGAUUUAGUAGUUUGGUCGGAUUGACCGUGAGUACAGAGAGAUUUGAUGAGUUAUAUGUUCAGCCGUACAGACCAUAAGAAGUGGAUUCGAUUGACACAUGAGAAAUUAGUGAGUUAUAGGCUCGGCCGUACCGACCACGCGAAGUGGAUCCGGCCGACGUAUUAUUAAGAUAAGAGUUGAAUCAACCGUAUUGGUCAUUCUAGUUGACUUCGGCUGAUAUAUUUCUUAUUAUGUAUGUUAUUACCUAGAGAGUAGUAAAUAAAUGUAGUUGAGACGAGUGUAUGUAUUGCAUUGAGUAACAAAAUAGUAAUGUUAUAUCUUUGAGAGUGGUUGCCUACUUAUCGAGACAACGAUGAUUUAUCAGUAUUGCGGGCUGCAGACCGUAAUAUUAAUAACUCAUUCGUGGAUUCGUUAAGCAAGCAAACCGGUAGAUUAUUUUAUGUUAGUAUUGUACUUAUUUAGAAUGCUUAAUAAUAAUAGAAUAUAUAUUGUGUCGGUUAAAUUAUUUCCAUUAGAUUGGUUGGUUAUAAUUGUGACAAGACGGAAUGUUAAGGGAAACCAGUACUUUCCAUCGAUCUGGAUGACCAGAGAUUACUUUUGUAAGUAUGCAAAGUGGAUUGAGUCAGGCCGUUAUUUAUGCUGUGAGAGCAAAGAGAUUGUUUUCGAAAGGCUGUCAAAAAUAUUAGCUCGUGUGGUGCUAAAUGAUGUUGUUUGGAGUAGUGUGAAUAAUGUCAAAAAGGGGUUAGACUUUUCUUGAUGUCUUCCCUGAAAGUAUACCUGGAUUGCCUUCAGGCAGAGAUAUGAGGUUCACUAUUGAUUUGUUGCCAGGUAUAAAUCUAUGUUAAAGAUUGGUUCAGGAUGAGUUAAGGGAAUUGGAAAUUCAGUUGAAAGAAUUGGUUGAUAAAAGUUUCAUUCAACCUAGUACAACAUUUUUGAGGAGCCCCAGUUUGUUGGUGAGGAAGAAAAUGGACUUAGAGAUUGUUCAUUGAUUAUAGACAAUGGAGUCGGGUAACGAUUAAGAACCGUUAUCCAUGGUAAUGUACUGAUGUUUAUUUAACCAGCUCAGAAGUAAUUGCGAAGAUUCAAAGAUUGAAUUGAGAUCUGGUUACUACCAAUUGAAUAUUAUAAGUGACGUUGAUCAUAAGAUGGUUUUCUGGACUCGUUAUAGUCUUUAUGAAGUUUGGUGAUGCUAUAUGGAUACUCAUGCUGUUUUAUGAGUUAUUGGAUGAAGUAUUCCAAUAAUGCCUUGAUAAAUAGAUAUCAUUUUCAUUGAAGAUAUUCUGGCAUAUUCUGAGCCAGAGCAGAGCAUGUAAACGUAUUAAGUCGGUGGAACAAAGAUUGGAAAGAAUGUCGGUUGUAUGCUAAGUAGCAAAUGCUAAAGUUAGAUGAAUCAGGUGGCAUUCUGAGAUUUGUUAUAUAUUCUUAAGGUAUUCAAGUGAAUCCUUAAAAGAUAGCAGAAAUUGAGAAUUUGGAACAACCACGAGUCGUAAUUGAGAUUUGGAAUUUCUUAGCUUACCAGGCUAUCUUGGAUGGUUGUGAAAGAUUUUUCAGUCAUUGCUUUGUCAUUGACGAGACUGUUGAGAAAAGAGGUCAUGUAUGAGUGGGAAGGAAAUUGUGAGCAAAGGAUUCAACAACUGAAGUAUUUUCCUCACUCAUGCACGUAUUUUGGUAUUCCCAGAGAAUAGUGGUAAUCAUAUAAAUUUUUAGUGAUGUUUCUUGAAUGGUAUUGGAUGCAUGUUGAUGCAAAAUGUUAGGGUGAUUGCAUACGUUUCACGAUAAAUGGAAUCUCAUAAGAUGAAUUACCCUACGGGUGACUUAGAAAUCAUGAUUACCAUUCUUGCUGUGAAGUUAUGAAGGGCAUUAUAUUUGGUAAGAAUGCAAGAUUUUUACGAAUCCAAAAAGUCUUUCAAUAUCCAUUACUUGGAAGGAUUUUGAUAUGAGGCAGCGAAAGUGAAUUGUAUUGCUUAAUGAAUAAUGAUUGUACGAUCAGGGUGAUCGUAAAGUUUGUUCUAAACUGAAGCACUUGGUGAGAAAUACUACAGUAAGAUUAAUGUCUGGCACGUUUUGCCAAGAGUAUCAUCUUGUGGAUUGAAAACCAACGGAAGAAAAAUUAAGAAUGGAAGAUCGAGAAGAAGUUAUACUUGUUAAAUUUCAAGUUAGGCCUGUUUGGUAAGGUCGUACUUGAAACUUAAAUGCUUGACGAAGAAAUUUAAGAAUUAACCAAGGUAGAGAAAGAAGGUAAGUUAAAUCCUAAGUUAAUCGGACUUAAGUGAUUAUCGAAAAGUUGGUGAAGUUGCUUACAAGCUUGUGAUGCCCUCAGAAUUGGUUAAGGUGCAAAACAUAUUUUAUGAUUCGAUGCGUUGUCACUAGGUGGCAGAUUCGUCACAUGAGAUUCUGGUGUAACUAUUGAGAAUUAAAUUGGAUUCGACUUGAUAAGGAAUCAAGGACGACUUUGGAUUGGAAAAAGAAGGUCCUGAGAAUUAAGACAGAGUAAGUAGUAAAAGCUUUGUGAAGGAAAUCAUUCAGUAGAAAAGUAUGUGGGAGAAAGAGAAUCGGAUGAGAAAGAUUUACCCGAAGCUAUUGUUGGAGUAUGGUUGAUUUAGUUGGUUGCUGGAAUUUCGGGGACGAAAUUCUAUAAGGAGGGAAGAUUGUCACAGCCCGUCCCGGAAUUUUAAUUCCGAGGACAUAAAAAGACGAAAAUGCCCUUAAACGGGACUAAGGGGCGAAAAUUUAACAAUUUGGAUUGAGUUGGACACGUGAGAUCCCCACACCCCUCAAUCCUCUCCCUAUUUUCUGCAUACUGUCUCUCUCUCUCCUCCCUCACGAAUCUCUCUCUCUCUCUGUCACUCUUCUUCUCCGUUCGAACAAACCAACCACAAAACAACCUUAAACUUCCACCAACGACGGAGUUAAGACCACCAUCGAACUCCUGGAGACUCCACGAUCACGUAGACACCAAUUUCAGGUAAGUUUUACUUCGGAAAACCUAGAUUCUAAACUCCCCGUGAAAGUGCACUGUUCAUGAUCUUCGAAUUGACUUUGUUUUAGGACAAUCCAAGCUCAUAGUGAGCUUUAGGAUGUCCCAAGGAAGCUCGGAGUGCUUCGUUGGAAGUUUUUGGACGUAAGAACACGGAGAUCGACAAGUUCAAAGUUUGGCCGGAGCUUUCGAGGCGUUUUCCGGCGAAUCCCCGGCGAGUUAGGAGUCGAGGUAGGUAUCAAUCUCUUCGUCUCGUCAAGUACUAUAACUUUCAUUUUUGUUUCACUCAAUUUCGUUGAGUAUUGAAGAAGUUAUACUCAUUUGAAAAAUACCCAGUUUCCGGCGACCUCCGAGGCUUUCGAGGCAGUUUCCGGCCAAACCACGGCUAACUAGGUGUUGUGCAAGGUACCAUUCUCUUUGUCUCUUCAAGGGCUACAACUUUCGUUUUUGAAUCACUUGAUUUCGUUGAGAAAUGACAAAGUUAUGGCAAUUUGAAAAAACUGCUCAGAAAACGGCCGCCGGAAAAACCAGUCCGGCGACCCAAGGAAGAAGAAGGUGCUACAGUAAAAAAAAAAUAAAAAUAAAAUUAUUUUAAAAAUAUGUCGACGUCCGUGACGUCGAGUAGAUCACUGUGGUAUAUUCAUAUACCUAAAUUGAACACCGUAUGAGAAAGUUAUUGAAGAUUGUUGGUUAGGUGUUCAAAUAACGUUUUAUAGUUUUCACAUUUAGGUGAAAAUGUGAAUUGAUGAUCCGACCGUUGGAUCGUCACCAAACUUUGAUACGUUGUAAUACGUAAUAUUUUGAGGAUUAUUGGAACUUACGGAUUGGGAAUCCGAAUUACGGAUCUUCCGGAAUUGGAAUUGUAAGUCCAUAAUAUAAAAUGUUAACCGUCACUUAGUUUUGGAAAUUGACGGAGAUCCGACCGUUGGAUGGUAAUGAAAUUUUAGGAUGUUGUCCUAGAGGUAUAAUGUGGACCUCUGGAAGUUAUGGAUUAAAAUCUGAGUGGUGGAUCUUCCGGAUCAAUCUACGUAGUGACGUAUUUUAUAUAAGUUAUAUAUUCUAUCGAUAUGAAUUCUGAGGUUGGAAUUGAUUAUUGUUUUAGGCGCCGAUCGUCAUGACGCCUUGGCGUAUUGUGCUAGGGAGUUGUAGGGCGAACUCCAGGUGAGUGGGCAGUUUUGUUUUCCGUAUAUAUAUAUAUAUACUUGACGUUUCCCAGAAAUUGAAAAUGCAUGAAAUUAUGCUUUAAAUGAAAAUGCAUAGAAUUGAUAUGAAAAGUAUAUAGAAAUGUGAGUUGAAAUGCCAUGCAUGAAUUAAUAUAUGAUGCAUAUGUAUGAAUUGGUGCGGUGGACGCACAGGUAAGAAUUGAUUUAUGAUGCAUAUGUAUGAAAUGGUGCGGUGGACGCACAGGUGAGUAUUUAAUUACUGUUAUGAUGAUGAUUGAUAUAUAUUGAGCUCAAAAUCCUGCACCAUGGUUUAGUGCUUAUAGUAUUCACCGCAUCGCACGCUCGCCUUGGAUCCAAGUAGAUGCUAGUCGUACAGUCCACGCGGAGUGGGUACGACAGACCAGUCGCGAGAGUGUUAGUGAGAUUCCGACUGGUGGGGUGACCUUAGAUUAUGUGCACAGAUGAUUUAUGAGAAGCACUAGAGCGUAACUUGUGUGCAGAAGGCCGGACGGGUCACAGAGGUGACUCCGGUAGAGUGAUAAUGAUAGAUUUUGAGCUCUAGGUUCAACCGUACAGGGCUAUUAGAGGGCCUCCGGUUGAUUACUUUCUUGCACCUGAUAUGAUUAUUGUUGAUGCAUCCAUACUUAACUGUUGAAUUAGACAUGGCAUGGCAUGAUUGAUAAAGAAAAAAUGUUGAGUUAAUGAAUUAAAGUAUUGAGAAUAUAUAUGUAUAUUUAUAUUUUACAUUUCUGGGAAAAUAUACAGGUUUUACAGAGAGGGGUUACAACGUUUUGAAAAAUGUUUGGAUUUGGAAAAGAAUUGUUUUACUGACCCACUCAAUUUUGGUUUUGCGCCCCUCCAGGUUCAGGAAUCACAAAGGUGUGGUGACUACGAGGAAUACAGCGGGGUUCUGACAGAUUGGACAAAAUUAGGACUCACCUUCGGGUGUAUCAACUUAUAAAUUGUAUCUUAAAGCUUCCGUACUGUGCAAAUGGUUACGUCACUCUCACGUGACGGCCAGCAUGCCCUCCUUCGGGACGGGGUGUGUCAUUAACUCAGUAAUGAUAUCGUUUUACUAAAAAAACAAGCUAACUGAUAAAAUAUGGAAUUGUUUUACAAUAUCCCUUCAAACGAAGCCACAGUCAAAAGAAUUAAGGUUUUAUAUCAAAACAACCCCCAUGGGGUUGGUAUGGUAAAAACCAAGCACAAAGAAUUGGGCUGAUUUGAUAUUGUUGUAAUGUGAGAAUAAGCAGCUGUGAAAUAAAGCAGCAGAGUGUUUGGUAAACUUUUUUGUAAAAGUUUUUUUGAAUAAAAAAGAAGUAUUAUAGUAUUUGAUAAACUUUUAUGUAAAACAAAUGUGAAAAAAAAAAACUGGUUUUUCAAAGCUGGGUUUUGCAGCUUUGUGUUUUUUGCUUUUUUUCACCUAAAACUGUGAAAAAAAAGCUGAAGCUGAAUGUUUACCAAACAUAAAAAAAAGCUUUUGAUAGCCACUUUUUUCAAAAUCACCUCUG